rnacentral:rRNA from 1 species
GACGAACGCUGGCGGCGUGCUUAACACAUGCAAGUCGAACGGAAAGGCCCUGCUUUUGUGGGGUGCUCGAGUGGCGAACGGGUGAGUAACACGUGAGUAACCUGACCUUGACUUUGGGAUAACUUCAGGAAACUGGGGCUAAUACCGGAUAGGAGCUCCUGCUGCAUGGUGGGCGUUGGAAAGUUUCGGCGGUUGGGGAUGGACUCGCGGCUUAUCAGCUUGUUGGUGGGGUAGUGGCUGACCAAGGCUGUGACGGGUAGCCGGCAUGAGAGGGUGAACGGGGACAAUGCGCCUGAGAGACGGCGCAGACUCGUACGGGGGGCAGCAGGGGGGAAUAUGACACAGUGAGAGGACGUGUGAUGAAGAGGCGCCGGGUGCGUAAUGACGGCCUGUGGGGUGUAAACCGCUUUAGCUUGUGACGAAGCGUGAGUGACGGUAAUGGGUAAAGAAGCACCGGCUAACUACGUG